ensembl:lncRNA
GCCAUGAUGGAGGUGCCGUCGGCGUCGCCGGGCGGCGUGUCCGACGACGACGACGUUAGGCCCAGCGUGCUGGAAUCCACAGCCGCUGACCCCGGGGGCCUCGCGGGCCCGCGGGGUCGAGGUUACGACCUGCCGGAGAUCUCCCUGAUCUCCUCGCCUCAAGACGACCAGCCUUUAAGGAAAGAGGAUGAUGUGGAGAGAGUCCAAGUGUAUUUGCGUGUUCGGCCCGUGCUCGAGGCGGAGAAGGAACGUGGUGAGGAACAGGGCUGUGUCUUUAUUCACGACCAACAAACCGUGGUGCUGAAAGCCCCCACGGACUCGUUCAACAUGAAGGGCAUGGAAAGGGGUACUGCUCAGAGCAUGCACAAGUUCACUUUUACACAGAUAUCUGGACCUGAGACAACUCAGCAAGAGUUUUUUGAGUGUACCACGAAGGAGCUUGUGCAGGAGGUCCUACGUGGUGAGAACAGGCUGCUUUUCACGUAUGGCAUCACCAACUCUGGCAAGACAUACACCGUCCAGGGAACGAGCCAGAAGGCCGGCCUGCUCCCCCGGACACUGGUGGCCUUGUUUCGCAAGCUGCAGGGUCAUCUUUCCUGUGCGCUGGAGCUGAAACCAGUGCUGUGCCAGGAGGUGCGCGUCCUGGACCAUACCGAGGUCCAGGCUGAGGAGAUCCGCCGAGACAAACUGCUACACAUGGUGAGGAGGAUUCUGGGAACGUGCUCAGGAAUGAUGUCCCAAAAUUCCCGGCUGCGAGACGAUGUCAGCAUCAGCUGUGAUAGUGGCUUUUGGGGUGCGUCCACAGUCGCCCAGCUGGAGGACUCAGACAGUGUUUGCCUGGAAGCCAAAAGCCUUUCACAGAGUGGAGAGGAGGGGCUCCCGGAAGGGGUGCAGUUCUCGGUAUGGGUGUCCUUUUUCGAAAUCUACAACGAGUUCCUGUAUGAUCUGCUGGAUUCCACGUCUUCCUCGCACCGCAGGAAACGAUCGACAUUGCGCUUGUGUGAAGAUCGCCACGGAAACCCUUAUGUGAAAGACCUCACCUGGAUGCAGGUCCGCAGCGCUGAGGAGGCCUGGAAAGUUCUGAAAGUGGGGCGCAGCAACCAGAGUUUUGCAGGCACUCAUAUGAACCAUGUUUCCAGCCGCAGUCACAGCAUCUUCAACAUCCGCAUCCUGCACACGCACCCUGGAAGCAGCAGGGGGCAGAAUGCUCGGAUUAGUGAGCUGUCUGUCUGUGACCUUGCGGGGUCAGAGCGUUGCAGAAACCAGCAGAACGGGGAGCGCAUUAAGGAAGCAACCAACAUCAACACCUCUCUUCACACCCUUGGCCGGUGCCUCAAUGCCCUUCGAUACAACCAGGCCAACAGGUCUCGGCCCCCCCUGGUCGUGCCCUUCAGGGACAGCAAGCUGACACGUGUGCUGCAGGGCUUCUUCUGCGGCCGUGGUCGCUCCAUCAUGGUGGUCAACAUCAACCCUUGCGCCUCCAGCUAUGAUGAGACACUGCAUGCCCUCAAGUUCUCCGCUGUCGCAAUGCAGGUGAGGCUCAGCACCCGUUGCCUUUUGUUGUUCUCAGUGCACCAGGGGUAUGUCUGUAGUUUACUUGAAACCCUGGAAACGGAGAGGGAGCUGAUGCAAGAGCGAUAUGAGGACAAGAUCCAGAACUUGCAGAAAAGCCUGAGAAGAUACUACAUACAGGAGAUUGAGGUGAGGGAAGUGCUGGGUGUUUACUGCAGAGAGGGGGAGCAAGGUAAGGGACUUGCACUAAGGAAAUGCAGGCAGGAAACGGCUAACCCCACCCAAAAAAAGCUGUUUUUUUUUUUAAGCUGCCUGGAGACCUGUUACCAGGGUCAGACCAUCCAUACGAGCAGUGUCACUGUCACUGUGGAUAACCAGCUGGAGGAGGGUCACAAGAACCUCCGUCAGCUGCGUGUCGGCCUCCAGCAGCUGAGCCUGAACCUGCGGUCAGGGGAACGGGUCUGCUGUAGCAACACGAGCGGAGAGCGGCUGCGCACCAUGCUGGCUGCUGCCGAAGGGGUGGCUGCCAAGCAGGAGCAGACACUGGUGGAGCUGCAGAAGAGCUGGAUGACGGUCAGAAUGGAGCUCAGGAAGAAGUCCGAAGACGUAGCCGGACCGCAGCUCCCAACCCCCGGUUCCUUCCGGAAAAAGGGGCACCCAAACCGGGAAUCUGAGCUUGAGAACAAACACCCCAAGAAGAAACGCUCUGUCCGAUGUGUGCGGAACGCCCCCCCGGUCAGCCCCGCCACACCCUUUUUCCGCGCUCUGCGCUCCCGCCAGCAGAGUCCCCUGUCCUGACGGGGUCAAGUGUUGAGUUUCCAGGAGUGCAGUGUUUGGAAACAGUUGGUCACAUUAACCAGCCAAAUCUGAAUGAUGCAUUGGCUUUGAGUGAAUGUGAAAUAACUCAGUUUUAGUGCCAUGUCAUUUACACAGGUUUCUCUGAUCUGUCAAAUCUGGUGCUGGGGUUUGUGGUCUAAGGUGGUGUGUUUUCUUCCUCUCAGCUGUACUGCAGCUCACCUUUGGGGUGUAGAGUCGCUCAUCAAAUUUCAAAAUAUUUCAACUUUUGUGAAGUUCAGAAUACCUUGCACAUAAGUAAAAUUAUGGAAUAUAAACAACAUAUGCACUACUUCAUGACUUGGUGGUCAGCUUAGGAUUUGGUUUUGAUUUGGUUGUUCAAAAAUCACUGAAUGGUUCUUGUUACUGCACUGCACUGUUAGCUGAACAACGCAGUGGUGCUGGUUUGAAAAAUAAGUGUAUUUUGCUUUGGUGGUGUAUAAUCUAUUUAGUUGUGCUUCUGCACAUACUGGUGCUCAAUUACCCUGAAUGCUUUACCACACUUUUGGUGCACAUCACUUUCUACUGUGUUUCGUGUUGCUGUGCAGGCAGUACUUUUGCUUUCAUAGAAUGUGAAGCAUUUCAAAUGAAGCUUAUUUUUAUGUUGAAGUUCUCCAGUUUGCAUUAUUUUUCGGGGGUGUACCGUACACAGAAGUAACUUUUUCUCGUUUUGCCAUGCAU